AGUGAACGCUGGCGGUAGGCCUAACACAUGCAAGUCGAACGGCAGCACAGUAAGAGCUUGCUCUUACGGGUGGCGAGUGGCGGACGGGUGAGGAAUACAUCGGAAUCUACUUUUUCGUGGGGGAUAACGUAGGGAAACUUACGCUAAUACCGCAUACGACCUACGGGUGAAAGCAGGGGAUCUUCGGACCUUGCGCGAUUGAAUGAGCCUAUGUCGGAUUAGCUAGUUGGCGGGGUAAGGCCCACCAAGGCGACGAUCCGUAGCUGGUCUGAGAGGAUGAUCAGCCACACUGGAACUGAGACACGGUCCAGACUCCUACGGGAGGCAGCAGUGGGGAAUAUUGGACAAAGGGCGCAAGCCUGAUCCAGCCAUACCGCGUGGGUGAAGAAGGCCUUCGGGUUGUAAAGCCCUUUUGUUGGGAAAGAAAAGCAGCAGGUUAAUACCCCGCUGUUCUGACGGUACCCAAAGAAUAAGCACCGGCUAACUUCGUG
rnacentral:rRNA from 1 species